ACCUUAUCAACCGCUUCAGGUUUCUCUGAAUGUGGCUUGGACGUGGGGGAACUCUUUGCCGGCUUUUAGAGAAAGGUCGGCUCCCCUGAAACACAUUAGUGGCAUCUGAGCUGCUACUGUAGGUGUGAUAAAUAUCUAUGCCUUUGGUAUGCAUGCAUGAACAGAUCGCGCUGCUCAAAACCCGACUUUGACAA
rnacentral:misc_RNA from 1 species